rnacentral:rRNA from 1 species
GCUUUUCCUGAUGACGAGUGGCGGACGGGUGAGUAAAGUUUGGGAAGCUACCUGAUAGAGGGGGACAACAGUUGGAAACGACUGCUAAUACCGCAUACAGCCUGAGGGUGAAAGCAGCAAUGCGCUAUCAGAUGCGCCCAAAUGGGAUUAGCUAGUAGGUGAGGUAAAGGCUCACCUAGGCGACGAUCUCUAGCUGGUCUGAGAGGAUGAUCAGCCACAUUGGGACUGAGACACGGCCCAGACUCCUACGGGAGGCAGCAGUAGGGAAUAUUGCACAAUGGAGGAAACUCUGAUGCAGCCAUGCCGCGUGUGUGAAGAAGGCCUUCGGGUUGUAAAGCACUUUCGGAGGGGAGGAGAAUGACGUUACCCUCAGAAGAAGCACCGGCUAACUCCGUGCCAGCAGCCGCGGUAAUACGGAGGGUGCAAGCGUUAAUCGGAAUAACUGGGCGUAAAGGGCAUGCAGGCGGUUAAACAAGUAGGAUGUGAAAUCCCCGGGCUCAACCUGGGAGCUGCAUACUAAACUGUUUAACUAGAGUAUUGCAGGGGGAGACGGAAUUCCAGGUGUAGCGGUGGAAUGCGUAGAUAUCUGGAAGAACACCAAAGGCGAAGGCAGUCUCCUGGGCAAAUACUGACGCUCAUAUGCGAAAGCGUGGGUAGCAAACAGGAUUAGAUACCCUGGUAGUCCACGCCGUACACGAUGUCAAUUAGGAGCUUGUGCGAUAGUAUGGGUUCCGCAGCAAACGCGAUAAAUUGACCGCCUGGGGAGUACGGCCGCAAGGUUAAAACUCAAAUGAAUUGACGGGGGCCCGCACAAGCGGUGGAGCAUGUGGUUUAAUUCGACGCAACGCGAAGAACCUUACCUGACCUUGACAUAGUGAGAACCUCUCUGAAGGGAGAGGGUGCCUUCGGGAGCUCACAUACAGGUGCUGCAU